AGAGUUUGAUCAUGGCUCAGAAUCAACGCUGGCGGCGUGCCUAACACAUGCAAGUCGAACGAGAAAGUGGAGCAAUCCAUGAGUAAAGUGGCGACCGGGUGAGUAACACGUGACUAACCUACCCUUGAGUGGGGGGAUAACCUCGGGAAACCGGGGCUAAUACCGCAUAAAAUUUUCGGGAUGAGAAGCCGGAAAUCAAAGGAGCAAUUCGCUUUUGGAGGGGGUCGCGGCUGAUUAGCUAGUUGGUGGGGUAACGGCCCACCAAGACGAUGAUCGGUAUCCGGCCUGAGAGGGCGCACGGACACACUGGAACUGAAACACGGUCCAGACUCCUACGGGAGGCAGCAGUGGGGAAUUUUGCGCAAUGGGGGAAACCCUGACGCAGCAACGCCGCGUGGAGGAUGAAGUCCUUCGGGACGUAAACUCCUUUCGAUCGGGAAGAUUAUGACGGUACCGGAAGAAGAAGCCCCGGCUAACUUCGUGCCAGCAGCCGCGGUAAUACGAGGGGGGCGAGCGUUGUUCGGAAUUAUUGGGCGUAAAGGGUGCGUAGGCGGUUUGGUAAGUCUGAUGUGAAAUCUAUGGGCUCAACUCAUAGUCUGCAUCGGAAACUGCCGGGCUUGAGUAUGGGAGAGGUGAGUGGAAUUCCUGGUGUAGCGGUGAAAUGCGUAGAUAUCAGGAGGAACACCUGUGGCGAAAGCGGCUCACUGGACCAUAACUGACGCUGAUGCACGAAAGCUAGGGGAGCAAACAGGAUUAGAUACCCUAGUAGUCC
rnacentral:rRNA from 1 species